GUGAUAAAUGCAGAUGAAGUCUAUGUUGGUUCAUUACUGCAGCAGUACCUGAUGUUUCGUAAUUACAGAUCUCAACUGUGACGUUAUUUCAGCGGUGAAAGAACCAGCCUGUUGGAGAGGCUAUUUUUUUUCCACGGACAGAGAGAAAACAGCAUGCUGAUGACAGAUCAGAUGGUGGUGAAAGGAUGAGAGGAGAUUACAUAUCACUAAUGAUAAUUGAAAAGAAAACAAGAGGAAAAAACUUCAAGUGGCCUCAAGGACACUCCGUGCUGACCUCUUCCUGAUGGAGUGGUGGUCAAAGGUGUUUCGCUUUGCAAAUUUCUCCAUAAUGGCCAAAAACAAGGCUGGUCGACAUAUGGAAACACCUGCAAAAUGUUGCUCUCCAAUUCAUAUAUUAUCCUGAACGUCACUGUUCAUCUGCUGUCACUGGGUCAAGAAGCCCUUCCUAACAGCAGUGUGAGUGCACUUACAUUGGCUGGACUGCAGUAUUUCAGGAGCAUGGCUCACCAUCACCUUGUCAAAUACAACUGGAGAUGUGCAACAAAUGCUGACCUUGCUGACGUCCCAGGAAUACAUAAAA